AUGGGACUGUAGCGCGAGCGCGGGCGACUGCCUUCCUUCCGCCCUUCCCUCAGGGAGAGGGAAGCUGGGUCCCGCUCCCUCGGCCUGGUGUUACCGACUUUCCGCCCCGCCCCCGCCCCCAUCAGGUGCGGCCUAGCGCUGCCCCUGGAGAGCCUCAGAAAGCGGCAGCGGGCGGCCGCUUCCCGCCGCGACCCUGAGGGCGGCCUGCGGGGACGACGCGGCGGGCGCGGCUCUCGGGCAUGCUUGGCGGCGGCGGCGGCGGCGGUGUGCCCGCCGGGCCGGCGCCGCGCUCGGGCCCCGACCUCCUCCCACCGCGGCCUUCAGGCUCCUGGCGCACCGGGGGCCGAUCGCGGAGGUGAUAAUAUGGGGAUCACGGGCUUCCCUUGUGGCUCAGCUGGUAAAGAAUCCACCUGCAAUGCGGGAGACCUGGGUUUGAUCCCUGGGUUGGGAAGAUCCCCUGGAGAAGGGAAAGGCUGCCCACUCCAGUAUUCUGGCCUGGAGAAUUCCAUGGGCUAGUCCAUGGGGUUGCAAAGAGUUGGACACAACUGAGCGACUUUCACUUUACUUCACUUCAAUAUGGGGACCCAGAUAAGUUAAGUAACUUGCCCAAGGUCAUACUGCGAUACAUGAAAUAAGUAUACACCUAAAAAUUUAAGAGUAAAACAAAUAUUAGUUAAUCUUGGCUCAUAAUCACUGGAAAGGAGAACAGUACCCAUAGAGGGGGGGGAAAUUAAGAACUUGGGAUAUUAUAAAAUUACUUUUUCUGAGAAAUCUUGCAGCGAAUUUGACAAAAUCACCUCUAAAGGAAAAUUAGAAUUUCCUGAAUGGUAAUUAUCCAAAUAAUCACAAAAUCAAAAUUAUGAGAAAUCCUCC
ensembl:lncRNA